UGCCCAUUGGCCCAGUCGGUUAAGGCGUCUGACUGUUAUCUACAGAAUAAUCAGAAGAUCCCUGGUUCGAACCCAGGAUGGGCAG